AUGGCUUUGUCCCCCGGCGCAUGGCCGGCGAUCACUGCAAUCUUGCUGGUGCACGGCCUGUUCGCCGCCUUCCCGGCGGUGUCGGUCGACAUGGGCGACAUGCUGAUGAUGGACAGGUUCCGCGAGUGGCAAGUCACGCACAACCGGACGUACCUGAGCACGGAGGAGAGGGUGCAUCGCUUUCAGGUGUACCGCGACAACGUGGAGUACAUCGAUGCCACCAACCGGCGUGGUGACCUCACCUACGAGCUCGGCGAGAACGAGUUCCUGGCUAGGUACGCGUCGUCCUACGAAGCUGCCAGCGAUGAUACGGGCAUUACUUUGCCUGUGGGCGGCGGCGACGCCGAGCUGUGGUCAUCCGGCGUCAACGAUGGUAGCUCCUUGGAGGCUCCGCCUCCCAGCUGGGACUGGAGAUCCAAGGGCGCCGUCACACCGGUCAAGUCCCAAGGCGCAGGAUGCGCUAGCUGCUGGGCGUUCGUGACGGUUGCUACGAUCGAGACUCUGAACUGGAUCAGGACGGGGAAGCUGAUGCCUCUCUCGGAGCAGCAGCUGGUGGACUGUGACCAGUACGACGGCGGGUGCAACCGCGGGUCCUUCCACAGGGCCUACAAUUGGAUUGUGGAGAAUGGCGGCCUCACCACGGCAGCGGAGUACCCGUACACGGCGGCGAGGGGCGCCUGCAACCGCGCCAAGUCCGCCCAUCACGUCGUCAAGAUCCUCGGAGGCGGCGUGAUCCCGCCUAGGAACGAGCCCGAAAUGCAGGUCGCCGUCGCCGGGCAGCCCAUCGGUGUGGCCAUCGAGGUCGGCAGCGGCAUGCAGUUCUACAAGGGCGGCGUCUACUCGGGCCCCUGCGGGACAAAUCUUGCUCACGCCGUCACCAUCGUCGGUUACGGCGUCGACGCCCCUACUGGGGCCAAGUACUGGCUCGUCAAGAACUCAUGGGGGCAGACAUGGGGUGAGAGCGGCUACAUCCGCAUGCGUCGCGACGUCGGCGGCCCGGGGCUCUGCGGCAUCGCGCUCGACGUUGUCUACCCAAAAAUGGCGAAAGCGUGA
rnacentral:rRNA from 1 species